AAGAAAUUGAGGCAGAGAACCCAAGUGUUCUAGCAAGAGGUCUAGGCGCUAGAGACUAUAAAAACAGCCUCUCUUCCAUCCCAACCAAACACAACAGCCCUUCAAGCUAGACGUAGAAACUGAAGCCCUCACUCCAUUCUUUUUUUCCAAGCAACUUCUGUCAUUAGUUUCCUUCUUCGAUCAAAAGGAGGAACUAAUUUUUGCACUCAGGAGGCUUUCGUGGCAAUAUCUGCCACCAACAGCCAGAAAGGGAGGUGGCCAGUGUGGAGGGAAAUUGAGCCAACUGUUACGUCAUAGGCCAAGCCUUUGAGUCACCCUGGGAUCUACUGCUGGACCAGCACCACGCAGAGUGUCGGCUUCGUGUUGGACUGGGGAGAGAUACAAAGCAAGAGCCUCCUCUCAUCUGACUUUCUUAGACCUUUUGCUGACCAGGCGAUGAAGAUCCUGGCUUGCUACAGCUCCUGCCCCCGGAAGACCCGUAGGAACAAUUACACUUCAAGGUUACCCAUAUGCCGCUCUGCUCUGUGCAAAUCUAAGCCCUGCUGAAAACUUGGGUCUUGCUAUGUAACCAGAUGGCCUUGAACUCCGAGAGAGAUCUUCCUGGCUUAGCCUUUGGAAUCCUGGGAUUAUAAAUAAAUGCCAUCAUGUCUGGUUAGGAA